rnacentral:lncRNA from 1 species
AAUUGACUUCUAGGACACUCAUCUAACAUGGCUUAGUCAUUUCAAAUACAAGACAGCUUUUGAUCAGCUUAGUUAUUGAAGACAAAAGAUGAUCUUUGAUCGACUUAGUCAUUGAAAAUAUAAGACGGUCUUUGAUUGACUUAGUCAUGACAAACAUAAAAUAAUAUUUGAUCAGCUUAGUCAUUGCAAACAUAAGAUGGUCUUUGAUCAACUUAGUCGUCGAAAAUAUAAGACUGCCUA